UGUGCUCACAGCGUGUUCUCACAAGACAACAUCUAUGCAUCUCCAUUUUGGACCAUUUGUAGGUGAGUUCAUGAAGACUGGGGAAGACUUUCAAAAGUCCAGUCUUGAUGUACUGAAGGCAAGAAUUACUUUUUACCAUAUCGUGGAAGGACAGAAUUGGCUUGAGUUUG